rnacentral:rRNA from 1 species
UCUUUUUAAUUGAAGUGUGUGGAGUUAAAAUAAAAAGUAUGGCGGUCUCCAAUCUUGUCAGAGGGACAUGCAUCGUAAAACGAAUUUGCACGAUGAUCUGUUCUAGUCUUGAAUAACCCAUUAUGUACACCGCUGUCUGAAAGAAAUUAUAGAAGUAUUUUCUUUUUUCCUGUUAGGGAAAUAAGGCAAGUUAAGGUGCAGAUUAUGGCUAGGGUGGUGUGUGUUCCAGUGGAAAUUAUGGGCUGAUUGAUGGAAAGACAUUGGGAAAGAGAAUUUGAUAGUAAGGUAAGUGAAUUAAACUAACUUGAAGAUGAGCUAUAGGAGGUGU